rnacentral:rRNA from 1 species
GAGCGGAUGAAAGGAGCUUGCUCCUGGAUUCAGCGGCGGACGGGUGAGUAAUGCCUAGGAAUCUGCCUGGUAGUGGGGGACAACGUUUCGAAAGGAACGCUAAUACCGCAUACGUCCUACGGGAGAAAGCAGGGGACCUUCGGGCCUUGCGCUAUCAGAUGAGCCUAGGUCGGAUUAGCUAGUUGGUGAGGUAAUGGCUCACCAAGGCGACGAUCCGUAACUGGUCUGAGAGGAUGAUCAGUCACACUGGAACUGAGACACGGUCCAGACUCCUACGGGAGGCAGCAGUGGGGAAUAUUGGACAAUGGGCGAAAGCCUGAUCCAGCCAUGCCGCGUGUGUGAAGAAGGUCUUCGGAUUGUAAAGCACUUUAAGUUGGGAGGAAGGGUUGUAGAUUAAUACUCUGCAAUUUUGACGUUACCGACAGAAUAAGCACCGGCUAACUCUGUGCCAGCAGCCGCGGUAAUACAGAGGGUGCAAGCGUUAAUCGGAAUUACUGGGCGUAAAGCGCGCGUAGGUGGUUCGUUAAGUUGGAUGUGAAAUCCCCGGGCUCAACCUGGGAACUGCAUUCAAAACUGUCGAGCUAGAGUAUGGUAGAGGGUGGUGGAAUUUCCUGUGUAGCGGUGAAAUGCGUAGAUAUAGGAAGGAACACCAGUGGCGAAGGCGACCACCUGGACUGAUACUGACACUGAGGUGCGAAAGCGUGGGGAGCAAACAGGAUUAGAUACCCUGGUAGUCCACGCCGUAAACGAUGUCAACUAGCCGUUGGGAGCCUUGAGCUCUUAGUGGCGCAGCUAACGCAUUAAGUUGACCGCCUGGGGAGUACGGCCGCAAGGUUAAAACUCAAAUGAAUUGACGGGGGCCCGCACAAGCGGUGGAGCAUGUGGUUUAAUUCGAUGCAACGCGAAGAACCUUACCUACUCUUGACAUCCAGAGAACUUAGCAGAGAUGCUUUGGUGCCUUCGGGAACUCUGAGACAGGUGCUGCAUGGCUGUCGUCAGCUCGUGUUGUGAAAUGUU